UUUAUUGGAGAGUUUGAUCCUGGCUCAGGAUGAACGCUGGCGGCGUGCCUAAUACAUGCAAGUCGAGCGAAUGGAUUGAGAGCUUGCUCUUAUGAAGUUAGCGGCGGACGGGUGAGUAACACGUGGGUAACCUGCCCAUAAGACUGGGAUAACUCCGGGAAACCGGGGCUAAUACCGGAUAACAUUUUGAACCGCAUGGUUCGAAAUUGAAAGGCGGCUUCGGCUGUCACUUAUGGAUGGACCCGCGUCGCAUUAGCUAGUUGGUGAGGU
rnacentral:rRNA from 1 species